AAUAGAUACCCAGGUAGUCCACGCCGUAAACGAUGAGUGCUAAGUGUUAGGGGGUUUCCGCCCCUUAGUGCUGCAGCUAACGCAUUAAGCACUCCGCCUGGGGGAGUACGGCCGCAAGGCUGAAACUCAAAGGAAUUGACGGGGGCCCGCACAAGCGGUGGAGCAUGUGGUUUAAUUCGAAGCAACGCGAAGAACCUUACCAGGUCUUGACAUCCUCUGAAAAUCCUAGAGAUAGGACGUUUCCCUUCGGGGAACAGAGUGACAGGUGGUGCAUGGUUGUCGUCAGCUCGUGUCGUGAGAUGUUGGGUUAAGUCCCGCAACGAGCGCAACCCUUGAUCUUAGUUGCCAGCAUUCAGUUGGGCACUCUAAGGUGACUGCCGGUGACAAACCGGAGGAAGGUGGGGAUGACGUCAAAUCAUCAUGCCCCUUAUGACCUGGGCUACACACGUGCUACAAUGGAUGGUACAAAGGGCUGCAAGACCGCGAGGUUUAGCCAAUCCCAUAAAACCAUUCUCAGUUCGGAUUGCAGGCUG
rnacentral:rRNA from 1 species